rnacentral:snRNA from 1 species
GGAUGGUGAGGGCGAUCUGGCUGUGACAUCUGUCACCCCAUUGAUUUCCAGGGUUGAUUUGGCUGAUCUGGCUGGCUAGGCAGGUGUCCCCUUCCUCCCUCAAUGCUCCAUGUGCGUCCCUCCUGAAGCUGCACACUCGGUUGAACUGGACGAGCACCCCCGAUAGAGGAAGACCGUUCCUCGGUCAAGGAUAUAUGAAUAGCUGUGCUUCCCUGCUAGAACCUCCAAACACGCUCUCAAAAGUAAGUGUUGCAGGGCGUGGUGGCACACACCUGUAAUCCCAUUACUCAGGAGGCUGAG